rnacentral:rRNA from 1 species
UACGUAGGGGGGCGAGCGUUGUCCGGAAUCAUUGGGCGUAAAGAGCGUGUAGGCGGCCCGAUAAGUCCGCUGUGAAAGUCCAGGGCUCAACCCUGGAAUGCCGGUGGAUACUGUCGGGCUCGAAUCCGGAAGAGGUGAGUGGAAUUCCUGGUGUAGCGGUGAAAUGCGUAGAUAUCUGGAGGAACACCGGUGGCGAAGGCGGCAUCCUGGACCGACACUGACGCUGAGGCGCGAAAGCUAGGGUAGCAAACGGG